rnacentral:rRNA from 1 species
GGAUGAGCCCGCGGCCUAUCAGCUUGUUGGUGGGGUGAUGGCCUACCAAGGCGGUGACGGGUAGCCGGCCUGAGAGGGCGACCGGCCACACUGGGACUGAGACACGGCCCAGACUCCUACGGGAGGCAGCAGUGGGGAAUAUUGCGCAAUGGGCGGAAGCCUGACGCAGCGACGCCGCGUGGGGGAUGACGGCCUUCGGGUUGUAAACCUCUUUCGGCCCUGACGAAUGUGACGGUAGGGGCUAAAGAAGCGCCGGCUAACUACGUGCCAGCAGCCGCGGUAAUGCGUAGGGCGCGAGCGUUGUCCGGAUUUACUGGGCGUAAAGGGCUCGUAGGCGGUUUGUCGCGUCGGUCGUGGAAAUGUCUGGCUUAACUGGGCACGUGCGGCUGAUACGGGCAGACUCGAGGGCGGUAGGGGCAAGCGGAAUUCCUGGUGUAGCGGUGAAAUGCGCAGAUAUCAGGAGGAACACCGAUGGCGAGGGCAGCUUGCUGGGCCGUUCCUGACGCUGAGGAGCGAAAGCGUGGGUAGCGAACAGGAUUAGAUACCCUGGUAGUCCAUGCUGUAAACGUUGGGCGCUAGGUGUGGGGACCAUUCUUGGUGUCCGUGCCGUAGCUAACGCAUUAAGCGCCCCGCCUGGGGAGUACGG